rnacentral:rRNA from 1 species
AGAGUUUGAUCAUGGCUCAGAUUGAACGCUGGCGGCAGGCCUAACACAUGCAAGUCGAACGGUAACAGAAAGCAGCUUGCUGCUUUGCUGACGAGUGGCGGACGGGUGAGUAAUGUCUGGGAAACUGCCCGAUGGAGGGGGAUAACUACUGGAAACGGUAGCUAAUACCGCAUAACGUCGCAAGACCAAAGAGGGGGACCUUAGGGCCUCUUGCCAUCGGAUGUGCCCAGAUGGGAUUAGCUAGUAGGUGGGGUAACGGCUCACCUAGGCGACGAUCCCUAGCUGGUCUGAGAGGAUGACCAGCCACACUGGAACUGAGACACGGUCCAGACUCCUACGGGAGGCAGCAGUGGGGAAUAUUGCACAAUGGGCGCAAGCCUGAUGCAGCCAUGCCGCGUGUAUGAAGAAGGCCUUCGGGUUGUAAAGUACUUUCAGCGGGGAGGAAGGGAGUAAAGUUAAUACCUUUGCUCAUUGACGUUACCCGCAGAAGAAGCACCGGCUAACUCCGUGCCAGCAGCCGCGGUAAUACGGAGGGUGCAAGCGUUAAUCGGAAUUACUGGGCGUAAAGCGCACGCAGGCGGUUUGUUAAGUCAGAUGUGAAAUCCCCGGGCUCAACCUGGGAACUGCAUCUGAUACUGGCAAGCUUGAGUCUCGUAGAGGGGGGUAGAAUUCCAGGUGUAGCGGUGAAAUGCGUAGAGAUCUGGAGGAAUACCGGUGGCGAAGGCGGCCCCCUGGACGAAGACUGACGCUCAGGUGCGAAAGCGUGGGAGCAACAGGAUUAGAUACCCUGGUAGUCCACG